UCGGCUUCUUUACAGUGCUGCCUUGUUGCAUAUGGAUCAAGCAGCAUUGUACAGGGCUAUGAAGGCAUUG
ensembl:miRNA microRNA 103a-1